GAGGGUAUGGCUCAGUGGUAGAGCACGUGCUUGGCAUGCACGAGGUCCUGGGUUCACUCACUCCCAGCACCUCCA
rfam:Camelus ferus unplaced genomic scaffold scaffold1793, whole genome shotgun sequence.